GACGAACGCUGGCGGCGUGCUUAGCACAUGCAAGUCGAACGGAAAGGCCCUGCUUUUGUGGGGUGCUCGAGUGGCGAACGGGUGAGUAACACGUGAGUAACCUGCCCUUGACUUUGGGAUAACUUCAGGAAACUGGGGCUAAUACCGGAUAGGAGCUCCUGCUGCAUGGUGGGGGUUGGAAAGUUUCGGCGGUUGGGGAUGGACUCGCGGCUUAUCAGCUUGUUGGUGGGGUAGUGGCUUACCAAGGCUUUGACGGGUAGCCGGCCUGAGAGGGUGACCGGCCACAUUGGGACUGAGAUACGGCCCAGACUCCUACGGGGGGCAGCAGUGGGGAAUAUUGCACAAUGGGCGGAAGCCUGAUGCAGCGACGCCGCGUGCGGGAUGACGGCCUUCGGGUUGUAAACCGCUUUCGCCUGUGACGAAGCGUGAGUGACGGUAAUGGGUAAAGAAGCACCGGCUAACUACGUG
rnacentral:rRNA from 1 species